rnacentral:rRNA from 1 species
UACGUAGGGGGCAAGCGUUGUCCGGAAUCAUUGGGCGUAAAGAGCUCGUAGGCGGUUUGUCGCGUCUGCCGUGAAAGUCCGGGGCUCAACUCCGGAUCUGCGGUGGGUACGGGCAGACUAGAGUGUGGUAGGGGAGACUGGAAUUCCUGGUGUAGCGGUGAAAUGCGCAGAUAUCAGGAGGAACACCGAUGGCGAAGGCAGGUCUCUGGGCCACUACUGACGCUGAGAAGCGAAAGCAUGGGGAGCGAACAGG